rnacentral:lncRNA from 1 species
CCUCUCCUGCCCAUGGUGGGAGGUUGGGAAGGACAUUCCCCCAUUUCCAUUUGCUCUGCCAUUCAAAACCUUGUGAGGGCCCUCAGGGAAGAAUCCCUUUGCAGGUCAUAAACUGACCUGCAGAAUUAUGGGAUCUUAACUGUGGGGAGAGACCUAGAAGACCGGCUAGUGACCAGAUUCUCAUCUAACUCCUUUUUUUUUGCAGAUGAGGAAACUGAGGCCCCACGUGGUGAAGACAAUUUUUACCCGAAUCCACCCACAACAAGAGACCAUUUGGAUAAUGUACAUUAUGGGAAGAGAACAGAGUCUCAGUGAAGAUCAUGUUUCCCCAGCAACACAGGUGCCAGGAGUAGCUGGCUCUGGUCCCAGCCCAGACUCAGAAAUCCUGAGCCACCAGACCAUUUCUAGAUUAACAAUGACCCACUGGAAACCAGUGUCAGCAUAACAACAGUUACGAGAGCUAAACCUACAAAAUAGAAACACAAGUAAAACUUGUUCAAGUGGUUUGCAGUCAUUGAACAUAGAUCAGCUCCUAUGAAAACAAACUCCAUGGGUUUUCUUUGAUGGCAGUUCUGCUCUAAAGAUGGAUAAGGAAGGAGGUUCCAAGAUGGCCGAAUAGGAACAGCUCCAGUCUACAGCUCCCAGCAUGAGCAACGCAGAAGACAGGGGAUUUCUGCAUUUCCAAUUGAGAACACAGGAGCUAUGUGGAGAGUUGAUGGAGGGACAUUCCAGGCAGAGAGAACAGCAAACACAAAGGCCUUGAAGGGCUCAACACCACAUGGAAGCUGCCAAGGCUUGGGGCUCGCACCAUCUGAAGACAUGGUCUGAACUCUACGUUGGCCCUUUCAGCC